rnacentral:lncRNA from 1 species
ACUUUUCUAGCUCGCCACCACCGCACUUAUGAAGCCAACCAUCACCGUCUUCACGAUUCAAGCAGUCAGUAGCCAGCCACCAUCAUCACUUACUCAUAAUUCAAGUAUCCACCACCAUUAACCACUACUCGUCUCCUGCCAUCAUUUGUCGUUAUUGUCACGCCAGUGGAGGUGAGUAUUACUGAGUUGUGUUCAAUUUGUUUUAUUAUUUACUAUUGUUUGAUAUUUUUUCCCUUAAUCAUGUCUUUUUAUUUGUGAUUACAAGAUUAAGAUAAGUUUAUUGAAACUUUGAUUUUUGAAACUGGUUUUGGGAAUUCUUUUUCACAGGAAUAAUUCAAUUCGAUUUUAUAAAUCAAUAUCGAACUAAAUAAAUAAAAUAGGUGAAUGGUAUCAUUCUUUGUUCUAUAGGUAUUUGUUAAUCUAUUUAAUUAUUUAGUUAAAAUUAACAUAAUAGGCAUCAAUUAUUAAACAUAAUAGGCAUCAAUUAUUACAUCGCCAUCAAUCCAUUCUCCUGGCAUAAAAACGUGUUGCUUUGAGUUGUACUACUGUGUCCUUUAUCCACCAUGACUUCCUUUUUACCAUGAAAGACAAUGUCAUUUCAACAAAUAUUACCAAAAUAAGGAUAUUUAUACAUAAUUUACAAAUACACUAGUUGUAAAAACAUUUCAUAUAUAUCAGAUCAUAUAUUUCAUUUAAUUUGUCAUAAAAAAGGUAAAGAAUAAGUCGUUUUGCAACCUUGAAAAGUGGGGUGGGAAUAAUGAACAGCCAGCAAAGAAUCACAGUUUAGCAAAUUUACAAAUGACAUUCUUUUCUAGAGAAUGUCGAAUAUCCCCAGCCUAUGAAUAACACAAAAUACAUUUUACAUUAGUAUAGUAAUGUCACCAAGUGCAAUAAAACGGUAAAUACAUAAAGCAAUUGUAACAAAUACACGUCACUACCUUAUAUUCCUUAGGAAUCACUUUUGAUGUUUCUUGGUCCAUUUCCAAUUAUUUUGAUUGAAAUGUAUCAUUGCUUUCACCAUCCAAAGACCCUUCUAAUCUAUAUAACAAAUCAUGUAACCGCCUUUCCUUUGAGUUUUAGAUGGAAUCAUCAUAAGGACUAGCUCGACGACAUGAAAUUGAACCUUCAGUCGAUGUGAUUUACACAACUAAAGUGCCACCAUUUUUUUCUUGCAAACAAACAAAAUCGGGGAAUGGAUUUUGAAUGUCACAUGUGCUGAGAUGAUUGACAGGAGAUGAAGAUGGCCAUUGGUUUUCCUUAUAUGUAAUACUUCAUUUAGAAGUGUAGUUUGAUCAGCCAUGCCUCAUCAACCUUAAGGGUCAAUAUCCUAGAUGCAAAAUAUUACUUCUUAAUUAUUUCUUCACUAUUAGUAUACCCAACACUGUUUUGCUGAAAGAGUCCGCUAGUGUCAACAUAAUGCAUCUUGACCUAUUUAAUCACAAAAUGAAUUACAUCAAAUAACUAGGAAAAUGUCAAUAUGUCAAAUUAGGAAAAAAUUAUAAUGAAGUAUGAAUUUUUACAGUAUUGAUACUGUUUUUUCCUUUUUUUUUUUUAAUUGUCCAUUGGAUUUAAGGGUCAAUAUCUCUAUCCUUCAUUUUAAUGAAUGAGAACUAGUUAUAUGGGUAAUAAGUAACCACCUUAUCUUUUUAAUAAUUAAAAACAAAUUAUUCCUUUAAUUAUUUGUAGAAAUUUAUUUUAGAUCAUUGUAAAAAAAAAAAAUACUACCAGGUGAAGAUAAUUCGUAUAAAUUGAAAUAUAAAAUUGUUUAACUUAAAAGUUUUUUUUUUCAAAUUUUUUUUUAUAACAAACUCAAAAAUGUAUUAAUGAAGAAGAUGAAAAACAUAAACUGAACCAGCUGUCCACUUAGAAAACAAAGACUAGCACUAGUUGUGGCAACAAAGGUGUACCCAAUCACUACUAAAGUGUUUUUUUUUUUUUUAAUUUUUACUUGUAUUUUUUUUAAACAUCAACUAUAUGAAUAUAUAAUAGAUUUUAGUUUUAGAUAUUGUAAUUUAAAAACUAAAUGCGAAAUUAAACAUGAGUGAUAUAUCAAGAAAUUUAUGAUAAUCUAUUAGCUUAUUUGAAAUAAAAUUAUGAAUGAAUUGACAUAGAGAAUGAAUUCAUGUAUGUAAUCUCUAAUGCAAAUAAUAUUCUAUUUUAAAAAAUAUUAAGCGCCCUACAAGAAAAGAUUACCUUAUCACUUCUAAUCCCUCCUAUAAAUCUAAGCCACUUCAUGAACUUUCUGAUCUUCGAUUCAUUCCAG